rnacentral:rRNA from 1 species
UUGACCUCGGAUCAGGCAGGGAUACCCGCUGAACUUAAGCAUAUCAAUAAGCGGAGGAAAAGAAACCAACAGGGAUUGCCUCAGUAACGGCGAGUGAAGCGGCAACAGCUCAAAUUUGAAAUCUGGCUCUUUUAGGGUCCGAGUUGUAAUUUGUAGAGGAUGCUUCGGCGUCGGCUCCGGUCUAAGUUCCUUGGAACAGGACGUCAUAGAGGGUGAGAAUCCCGUAUGUGAUCGGUUGCCCUUGCCAUGUGAAGCUCCUUCGACGAGUCGAGUUGUUUGGGAAUGCAGCUCUAAAUGGGAGGUAAAUUUCUUCUAAAGCUAAAUACUGGCCAGAGACCGAUAGCGCACAAGUAGAGUGAUCGAAAGAUGAAAAGCACUUUGGAAAGAGAGUCAAAAAGUACGUGAAAUUGUUGAAAGGGAAGCGCUUGCAACCAGACCUGCCUGCAGUUGCUCAUCCGGGCUUUUGCCCGGUGCACUCUUCUGCUGUCAGGCCAGCAUCAGUUCG